GAGCAGACACAUUCCAGCCAAUCAGCAGCAGACCCUCCCUCCCAGACCCUCCCACAUCCUGGACAGAAUCCAUUUUACAUUCAUUGUGAAGCUGCAUUCUUAGUGAGCUGUCCAGGAGGUGGAAGGGUCUGGGAGGGAGGGUCUUCUGCUGAUUGGCUGGAAUGUGUAUGCUG
rnacentral:miRNA from 1 species